AAGACACUAGUAUAACCCGUUAUUACACUGCCUUGUCAAGGCAAAAUUGUGGGUUAAACCCCCGCGUGCCUUA
rnacentral:tRNA from 1 species